rnacentral:piRNA from 1 species
ACCUAGAGGCUGGGACCUAAGACUGGUGU